UACGUAGGGUGCAGGCGUUAAUCGGAAUUACUGGGCGUAAAGCGUGCGCAGGCGGUUUCUUAAGUCAGAUGUGAAAGCCCCGGGCUUAACCUGGGAACUGCGUUUGAAGCUGGGAGACUUGAGUGUGGCAGAGGGGGGUGGAAUUCCACGUGUAGCAGUGAAAUGCGUAGAUAUGUGGAGGAACACCGAUGGCGAAGGCAGCCCCCUGGGUUAACACUGACGCUCAUGCACGAAAGCGUGGGGAGCAAACAGG
rnacentral:rRNA from 1 species